rnacentral:rRNA from 1 species
UACGAAGGGUGCAAGCGUUACUCGGAAUUACUGGGCGUAAAGGGUGCGUAGGUGGUCGUUUAAGUCCGUUGUGAAAUCCCUGGGCUCAACCUGGGAAUGGCAGUGGAUACUGGACGGCUAGAAUGCGGUAGAGGGUAGUGGAAUUCCCGGUGUAGCAGUGAAAUGCGUAGAGAUCGGGAGGAACACCAGUGGCGAAGGCGGCUACCUGGACCACAACUGACGCUGAGGCGCGAAAGCUAGGGGAGCAAACAGG